UACGGAGGGGGCUAGCGUUGUUCGGAAUUACUGGGCGUAAAGCGCGCGUAGGCGGACCUGCAAGUCGGGGGUGAAAGCCUGUGGCUCAACCACACAAUUGCCUUCGAUACUGUAUGGCUUGAGACCGGAAGAGGUUAGUGGAACUGCGAGUGUAGAGGUGAAAUUCGUAGAUAUUCGCAAGAACACCAGUGGCGAAGGCGGCUAACUGGUCCGGAUCUGACGCUGAGGCGCGAAAGCGUGGGGAGCAAACAGGG
rnacentral:rRNA from 1 species